CGCGGGAUGGAGCAGUCUGGUAGCUCGUCGGGCUCAUAACCCGAAGAUCGUAGGUUCAAAUCCUGCUCCCGCAA
rnacentral:tRNA from 1 species